UAGGGAAUCUUCGGCAAUGGACGAAAGUCUGACCGAGCAACGCCGCGUGAGUGAAGAAGGUUUUCGGAUCGUAAAACUCUGUUGUUAGAGAAGAACAAGUACGUUAGUAACUGAACGUCCCCUGACGGUAUCUAACCAGAAAGCCACGGCUAACUACGUGCCAGCAGCCGCGGUAAUACGUAGGUGGCAAGCGUUGUCCGGAUUUAUUGGGCGUAAAGUGAGCGCAGGCGGUUUCUUAAGUCUGAUGUGAAAGCCCCCGGCUCAACCGGGGAGGGUCAUUGGAAACUGGGAGACUUGAGUGCAGAAGAGGAGAGUGGAAUUCCAUGUGUAGCGGUGAAAUGCGUAGAGAUAUGGAGGAACACCAGUGGCGAAGGCGGCUCUCUGGUCUGUAACUGACGCUGAGGCUCGAAAGCGUGGGGAGCAAACAGG
rnacentral:rRNA from 1 species